GAGUUUGAUCGUGGCUCAGAUUGAACGCUGGCGGCAGGCCUAACACAUGCAAGUCGAGCGGAUGAAGGGAGCUUGCUCCUGGAUUCAGCGGCGGACGGGUGAGUAAUGCCUAGGAAUCUGCCUGGGUAGUGGGGGAUAACGUCCGGGAAACGGGCGCUAAUACCGCAUACGUCCUGAGGGAGAAAGUGGGGGAUCUUCGGACCUCACGCUAUCAGAUGAGCCUAGGUCGGAUUAGCUAGUUGGUGGGGUAAAGGCCUACCAAGGCGACGAUCCGUAACUGGUCUGAGAGGAUGAUCAGUCACACUGGAACUGAGACACGGUCCAGACUCCUACGGGAGGCAGCAGUGGGGAAUAUUGGACAAUGGGCGAAAGCCUGAUCCAGCCAUGCCGCGUGUGUGAAGAAGGUCUUCGGAUUGUAAGCACUUUAAGUUGGGAGGA
rnacentral:rRNA from 1 species